CAAUGGUAGAGUUCUGGCCUUCCAAGCCAGCUGUGAGGGUUCGAUCCCCUUCACCCGCUCCA
rnacentral:tRNA from 1 species